AACGAACGCUGGCGGCAGGCUUAACACAUGCAAGUCGAACGCCCCGCAAGGGGAGUGGCAGACGGGUGAGUAACGCGUGGGAACAUACCCUUUUCUACGGAAUAGCUCUGGGAAACUGGAAUUAAUACCGUAUACGCCCUACGGGGGAAAGAUUUAUCGGGGAAGGAUUGGCCCGCGUUGGAUUAGCUAGUUGGUGGGGUAAAGGCCUACCAAGGCGACGAUCCAUAGCUGGUCUGAGAGGAUGAUCAGCCACAUUGGGACUGAGACACGGCCCAAACUCCUCGGGGGGGCGGCGGUGGGGAAAUUUGGAAAAUGGGGCGAAGCCUGAUCCAGCCCUGCCGGGGGGGGGAUGAAGGCCUUGGGGUUGUAAAGCUUUUUCACCGAUGAAAAAAAUGCCGGUAGUCGGAAAAGAAGCCCCGGUUAACUUCGU
rnacentral:rRNA from 1 species